GUCUUAGUGUCUGCCCUCCUGCCUCUUCCUAUCCCUGUUCUGACCCUUCCUGUAGGCUUCCACCAUAGCAGACUGGUGAGUCUUCCUCAGGAGGAAAUCUAGUAUUUAAAAGUGAAAAAGACUUCCAGCCUGCCAGGCCUAUUAGCACAACAUUGAAACUGAAAAGAAAAGGAGUACUUG